GGGAGGCAGCAGUGAGGAAUAUUGGUCAAUGGACGAGAGUCUGAACCAGCCAAGUAGCGUGAAGGAUGACUGCCUAUGGGUUGUAAACUUCUUUUAUACGGGAAUAAGUGAGCCACGUGUGGCUUUUUGUAUGUACCGUAUGAAUAAGGAUCGGCUAACUCCGUGCCAGCAGCCGCGGUAAUACGGAGGAUCCGAGCGUUAUCCGGAUUUAUUGGGUUUAAAGGGAGCGUAGGCGGGUUGUUAAGUCAGUUGUGAAAGUUUGCGGCUCAACCGUAAAAUUGCAGUUGAUACUGGCGACCUUGAGUGCAACAGAGGUAGGCGGAAUUCGUGGUGUAGCGGUGAAA
rnacentral:rRNA from 1 species